AUGGGCCAGUCNNNNNNNNNNNNNNNNNNNNNNNNNNNNNNNNNNNNNNNNNNNNNNNNNNNNCCCUCCUCCAUGGCGCCGCCGAUGCCCGCGGGCGCGGGGAGCGGCAGCCUCGACCCACCCCCCUUCGCGCCGCCCCCGCCGGCGCGCGACCACACGCAGGACCUCCCCGACGAGAUCCUCACGCUCGUCUUCGCCUCGCUCACCCCGGCCGAGCGCAACGCCUGCUCCCUCACCUGCGCGCGCUGGAAGGAGGUCGACGCCGCCACGCGCCACCGCCUCUCCCUCGACGCGCGCGCCAUGCUCGGCUACAACACCCCCGCCAUCUUCUCCCGCUUCACCGCCGUCACCAAGCUCGCCCUCCGCUGCGCGCGCGGCUCCGGCGCCGACAGCCUCAACGACGGUGGGGCCGCCGCCGUCGCCGCCACGCUGCCCUCCGACCGCCUCGCCAGGCUCAAGCUCAGGGGCCUCAGGCAGCUCUCCGACGCCGGCCUCGCCUCCCUCGCCGCCGCGGCCCCCGUGCUCCGCAAGCUCUCCGUCGCCUCCUGCACCUUCGGGCCCAAGGCCUUCGUCGCCGUGCUCCAGUCCUGCCCCGUCCUCGAGGACCUCUCCGUCAAGCGCCUCCGCGGCCUCCCGGACACUUCGGGCGCCAUCACCGCCACCGCCAUCACCGAGGACAUCCUCUUCCCGCAAGCCAUGUCGCUGCGCUCGGUCUGCCUCAAGGAUCUGUACAGCGCCCUCUGCUUUGUGCCGCUCGUCUCGUCCUCGCCCAAUCUCCGCUCGCUCAAGAUCCUGCGGUGCUCCGGUGCCUGGGACUUGCCACUGGAGGUCAUUGCCGCCCGUGCUCCUGGCCUCGUCGAGAUUCACCUUGAGAAGCUCCAGGUCGGUGACCGUGGUCUGACUGCUGUCUCGGCCUGUGCGAAUCUGGAGGUGCUGUUCCUUGUCAAGACCCCUGAAUGCACCGAUGAAGGCAUCAUCAGUGUUGCGCAGAACUGCCACAAACUGCGCAAGCUGCAUAUCGAUGGCUGGCGCACAAACCGGAUCGGUGAUUGCGGCCUCAUGGCUGUUGCUCGAGGAUGCCCGGACCUUCAGGAGCUUGUCUUGAUAGGGGUCAACCCCACCGUGCAGAGUCUCCGGAUGCUUGGUGAGCACUGCCGCGCAUUGGAGCGUCUUGCGCUUUGUGGCUGCGAGACUGUAGGGGAUACCGAGAUCAUUUGCCUGGCGGAGCGGUGUGCUGCUCUCAAGAAGCUUUGCAUCAAGGGAUGCCCGGUCACAGACCGCGGGAUGGGAGCACUCAAUGGGGGUUGCCCCAGCUUGGUCAAGGUGAAGUUGAAGAGGUGCCGUGGAGUGUCGUAUGAAUGUGUUGAGCAUCUGAAGAUGGCCAGGGGGGGUUCCUUCUCGAUCAGCCUGGAUAUUGUGUUGGAGCAUGAUGCAGUCGCUCCAAGUGAAAAUGGUGUGCAAGAGACUGGACAACAAGCACAGGUUACAGAGCUAACUGGUCAGAUGGCUGCCAUGGACCUUCCCACUAAUGCUGCUGGUGCACAAUCUUUUGCUCAGGCGAACAGUAGGAUGCGGAGCGUCAUGUCGGCACUUAGAAGGAGAUUCGGCAACCCUCCACCAGCGUGA
rnacentral:rRNA from 1 species